CUCAUUAAAUCAGUUAUGGUCCUUUGGU
rnacentral:piRNA from 1 species